CUUUUUGUGUGUUUUGCGCUACAUACUGAUCUGGGUUCAGUGGCUGGUGGUCUGGGUUCAGUUCUGCUGGUUCUGCUUCUGUGUUCUGGAACUUUCCUCAUCCUGAAGAAGAGGAAAAGGAAAUGUGAGACAGCUUUACCUCUGCAGAAUGUGCAGCAGAACACUGAGACUGACUGCACGUAUGCAAAUCUUCCAAAAUGUGAUGUCAUCAUUGCCGCUACGUCUUCAUCCAAUCAGCUGCCAGCAUCAGACCUCAACACCAGCGCAGAAAAUGCUGUUUAUUCUAAAGUAACCAAUCAGCAAUCUGAAUUACACUCUGGUCACACCCACUCAGCCAAUCAGAAGGCAGAUUCAGAUUUUGAUUGCUAUGCUAAUGUUACAUAAUCAUUUACCAUCUCCAAAACAGCCAUUCUGUGGGUCCCGAUCCGAUUUCAAAAUGAUUCUUUAUUUACAUUUUCCCUAUUUCUUCUGCUGUACAUUUUCAUCUUUGCAACUUUACAUUUUAACUAUAAUUAAGAGUUUAUAAUGCUUUACUUUUAUAACUGAAAUCUCUGUUUGAGCUCUGGGUUCAAAGUCAAAGCAGGGUGAAUCAG